CCGGCGCCCCCGCCGCCCGCCCCGAGCGCGGACCUGGAGCGGAGAAGAGAGGUCGGUGCCUCCAACCCGGGGCCGCAGUCGCGGGGCGCGCGUCCUUGCUCUGGGACUCACUGUCGACCAACCCCCAUUCCUCAGGGGCUCGGCUCCUUCCCCAAGGCUCAGGACGUACAGCUUGGGCGGGGCCCCCUCCCCAGCAGCAGUCAGCAGAGCUGCACGAGUCAGACUCCACUUCUGGUGCACCUGGUACCUUGAGUCUUGCUCUGUUGCCCAGGCUGGAGUGCAGUGGUGCAAUCUCAGCUUACUGCAACCUCCACCUCCCAGGUUCAAGCCAUCCUCCUGCCUCAGCCUCCUGAGUAGCUGGGAGCCAUCACGCCCAGCUAGCCAUCUUCUAAUUUUCAUUCCUUCAAAGGAAUCAGUGACAUUCAAAGAUGUGUCUGUGGACUUCACCCAGGAAGAAUGGUACCAUGUCGACCCUGCUCAGAGGAGCUUAUACAGGGAUGUGAUGCUGGAGAACUAUAGCCACCUGGUUUCUCUUGGAUAUCAAGUUUCCAAGCCAGAGGUGAUCUUCAAAUUGGAGC
rnacentral:sRNA from 1 species